GAUAACCUAGCUAAACCAAUUUCAUCCGGCCUGGCCAGCAAGAGUUUUUUUAACUCAGGUACUCCCGUAAGUGGACUUCUUAAAAUUAUUACUCCAAAGUGUGCAAUUAGAUUAUAGUAUUAUAAUACAUAUUCGUUUAUAAAUUUAUUAUCGUCGUUGCUUUAAACCCGUCUACAGCUCACUAACGGCGGCUGUUACUGGCAUUUCUCCCCUCAACCCUUCAUCCCAUUCUUGGAAACGGAUUUCAGACAGCCGACGAGACUGUUCUUCCACGCCGCCGAUGAGACUCGUCUUCCACACUGGUUCGCGCUCUCGACUGCUCUUGGUUCGUGCUCGACGCAAAUGGAGGCGCCACCAGGUCUUGCUUCACGCUCCUUGGAAAUGGAGGCGCCUCCGGCCGGCGCCG
rnacentral:lncRNA from 1 species